CUUUCACUCGUCGGCGUGCGCGCGCUCUCUGCUGACUUUGAGUGAUUUCGCAUUGAGAGGAGCUUUUCGAUUGAAUUUAUUGCAUUUUGCAACGUAAUUCCGCAAGUUCUACAAAGUUCUGCUUUGACAUUUGGCUAUUUCAUCACGGUUUGUUUAUACUCUAUGGUAUGCGGUGCAAUUAACCGCUCUCUGCCUCUCUCUCUAUCGCUGCCUCACGCGCUCACUCGCUCUCUCGCGUGAUUGCUUCAGUUUGCCGGUUUUGCCGGUUAAGUGAAAAAGAGUUGAGAGCGGUGAAUUUUUGAGUGGUGUUUACAAUAAUUGAGCGCACGCCGGGUGGAAAUUGAGACAAUCCGCAAAUUGCAUCACUCGGCAAAUAAAAACAUAAACAAUUAACAAGAACAGACUCGAAAGGUUCUUGUAAAAUUAAUAGCAAUACGAAUCCAAAUAAACAAAUGUGUAUUUGAUUGGAAAUCAAAAAAAGUUUGAUUCAUUAAUUUAAUUUACAUACGAAUGUAUAAAAUUAUAGCAUUCAAAAUUAUACAAUAUACACAAUAUAGUUUUUAACAAGUUUGUAUUCGUUUAUUAAAAAGUUCACAUUCGAAAGUAGAUGAGUAUUUGUACACACGUACAUACAGAUAUACAUAUGUACAUACUCAGAAGAAAUGUUAGGAUAGUCCUUGGAAAAAUGUUGACUUGUCACAAUGCAAUAAAAAAGUAAUACCUUACUUACACGAAUAAAUGUUAAUUGACAUAUGUACAAAUGUUUAACUGCAGGUUUCAAUUGCUUUUCUUUGGCAUUAUUUGGGAUUCUUCUUCGCCGCAUAAAUGUUGCCUAUUUUUAAAUGGAUUUCUUCUUUGUUGUGUUACGUUUUGCUUAGUUUCUGCGAGAAGUUCUUUAUUCCUUCCCGCUCUUUUUAGCCCCUUACACUGCUUCAUUUUCUCCUUACCCUUUCCUUUAUCUAUUUACCCUACCUACCGAAGUUCCUUAUGUGCGUGUGUGCAAUUUAAGCUCUUUGUCACUUUUUGUCUGCCGCGCUCUCGCUCUUUCCACUUUAACCAGAAACAAACCAUCAUCUUGCUCUCUCUUUCUGCAACUUCAGUUUCAGUUUUGUCAAGUUGAUUGAACUUGUGAACUUUGUGGCGGCAAAAAUAAACAAUGCAGAAAUGCCAAUAAAACAAAAAGUAAAGCCGCAAGGUAGAAACAAAACAAAAGGCAAAGAUUUUUUUCGAGUGUGUGUACGUGUGUGUGUGUGUAUUUGGGUGUGUGUGAACCUACCUCAAGUCUAAUUAAAUUAUGCCAAGGAAAUGUAAAAAGAAAGAAAAAGCACUAGCCAAAAAGAAACAACAACUUUGGGAAGAAGAAGUUGUGGAAUUUGUGGACGAAGGGGUAGUAAAAUGAAGAAGGAGAGGAAGCAACAGCAACUUGAAUGAAAAGUAGCAUAUUUUAACAUACGUAAGUUUUCCAGCAAUAUUCUUAAAACGUUUAUUUUUGAACACUUAUAAAGUAUGUAGGUAAAUCACUAACGGUGCAUUUUUAUUGCGUAUUACACUACAUGCGACAAUACAUGUAACACAUGCACACAUAUGUAUGCAUGUAUGUACUUAUGUGCAUACAUAUGUAUGUAUGAAUUCGAAAGAAACAAGUGAUGGAAUUUUGCGCCCUUCUGCGACUAUUAAAUCAUCAGGUGGUUGCGACGCAAAGUUCUUCCCGCUUUCGUCACCCUGCUGAUUUCGUUACGUUUCGCUUUCCAUUGCACCAAUUUCCAUUGCACCUUUUUUGCGCGUGCAUCUGCCCUCUCUUUCGCACCUUUGCACGCUACGGAUUUUGUUUUGAUUUCGCAACCAGCGACCCAGCAGGAAAAUUCCAGUUGAAAACUCGCCCAAGAACUACUCUGCAAUUUGCACUUGAAAUUAUUAUUUAAUUAUUAUUGUUAAAUGCUCCUGUCAGCACAAUGCCAAUUAAGUAACGCAACGGGUAUUUCCACUUAAGUAUUUAUGAGCACCACAAACAAAAGUUCCCUGCCAGUGCCAAUACCCUCCUUCUCCUACAGGGUACAACUGCGUUACAGACAAAAAGAAAUUGGCGCGCAUUUUGUGAGCUUUUUUUCGCGCUGCAUUCUUCCGCUGUCGAAGUUCGAUUUAAAUAAAUUUUGAAAUAUUUUCGUAUUAAGAUGUUUGCGCAAUUCUUUUUUACGUGUGCUGCUUGUUUUGUGUAAUAAUACUACACUACUUUCUGCACCGUUUACGUUCGCGCUAAAAUGGAAAGUGUGCAUGGGGAGAUAAAACAACUGCGUAAAUAAUGGCAACAAGUGCCUGCCGUGCUGAGUUCCCAUAUCAAGUUUGUCCAGAAUUUGCCAAGCUUUCAAAAAAUCGACGUAACGUAACCGAAUAACCUCGCGUCGGGCUCGUAAAAAUGAUAGGCGAUGACAGUGACGACACCGAGUCGCCUGAAUCGACAGUUAUCGAAAAUAUCGGAAUUAAUGUGUCGAUAGAUUAGAAAAAGAUAAGAAAGAAUGCGUGGAAGGCGAAGAAACACCAAAGCAACUUAAGAUGUAUGUACAUGUGGAUACCACAGUGUAGCUUCAUUUAUGUAUGUAUGUAAGCAAGUUACAUAAAUGUGUACAUACGGCUGUACGAUCUUAUCGACAGUAUUGCUAAUUCUGGAUUGAGGUUCAUCCCAUCCCCAGGCGCAGUUGACUUGGCAUUUAACGGUCUACACGUGCAGCAACAAUGUAACUUUGACGCCGGUGUCGACAGGUGUACUCGGCGUAAUUGUAUUGGCAAUUCAAAUGCGAUAAAGCCGGGGUGCCUCGAGUGCCAGUUAUGCUCGCCGUAGGCCAGAAACUAUCGCCCCCCAUUGAUAACGCAAAUAAUCUUAAAUUGCAUUGCGCACUAGUCUUCCUUUUGCAACAAAGUCGCUAUCUCCUGCUUCUUAUUUUUCUCCGCUACGUUACGUUUAGUAGUGGGAUUUUACUACGUGAAUACUGCGUAAAAUAACAAUUUUUUUUUUAAGUGCUAUUGGAAUUGUGAGUAUUUUUAUUACAUACGUUUCAGUAAUAUUAUAAGGCUAGUUUUCACUUAAAUAAAGAGGUAUGGGAUUACAUAUAUAUAUAAUAUUAUAUUAUAAUAUUAUUAGGCUAGUUUUCACUUAAAUAUGCAUCUAAACUCGGUUUUUGCAAGGUGUACCUACAUGUUUAUAUUAUUUAUUUGCCAUUACCGCUUUUUGGCGCUAACUAUUUAGACGCCUUUCGUAUCAGAAGAUAACGCAUGUGCAAACCUUCAAUUAUAAAUUAUUGGAGGAGCUCAAUACUCGAGUAUUUUGGCACAACUGAUUCAUAGGCGUAAUUGAACACACACUUGAAGGCCACGAUCGUAAUUUGAGGAUUAUCGUGAAUGAUUUCCAAUCUGAUAUAAAUAGAAGUAUUUAUUCUAUUUAUCAUUGAUUUUUUGGACCAAACACUUCUUUAAUAAUCUAGGAAUUUGAAAAGAGGAAAGGGAUGUUCAAUAAGUUUAUGAAGUAUGUAUGUACUUUUAUGGAUCUACUUAUUUAAUACAUACAUACAUACAUAUGUAUGUUCAUACUUAGAUAUGUGUUAGGUUUGGCAGUCCAGUUUCUCAUUUUUAAUGCUAAUUGUUCGUUACAACUCUAUUCUCGUCAUUCUAUUUGACUCCUAUUCCCCUUUGAUUUAUGUUCUUUUCUUACAGAUGGCUUCGUUGUCUUCUUCCUCUUUAUCUUUAUCUUCGCUGUCGAUUUUCUUCGCCGUUGACACAUUUUGCAUGUGGAUUUACGCCCAGAGGUGUAAAGACAAAAAAAAUAAAGGAAGGCGAAGACAGAAAAGGCAAGAAAACGGCAGCUGCAAAAACAACAAAAAAGCUCCGAAGAAAGAAGACGCCGGUACAGUUGCGCUCACACACACUCACAUGCUCACACAACAAAUUCGCCAAGAGCGUAAAACGCAAAAAAGUACAGCGUGGCGCUUUUAUAACGGCACACAAAAAAAAUCAAAACAAUGCAAAAGCAAAACAGGCGCAGCACUCAAAACAAAUCGAAGAGUUACGAGCACAAGAGAACAAAUUGAGUGAGUUUUUCUUUUCGCUUUUUGUUGCAGCAACACUGUGGCCAAGACGAAAGUGAAUGUUGCCGAAACACUGUUGCUAAGAAAUGUUGACGGGGUAAAGUGCCUGCCAAAUACUGGACAGAUACCAGGCAGAUUACAGCCCGAUGUCCUGCGGUGAGGCCCCUUGAGAUUCUGAAUAUUCUCCGUAUAUCAGGCUGCUAAUUAAGGUCACACUUCGCUGAAGAUGACCGCAAUAUUUGUUGGAACGGGGAUUGCCAUUGCAAUUGGGUUUUCCUUGAUGUAACACCCGUCUUGACAACUUAAGUAAGACGACAUCGACACCCCAGGAAGAAGUCACACAAAAAAAACACAAACAAGGAUAACAGAAAAAAUCAGCGAUUAAUAGGGGACAACGGAAAUUUCAGGUAACUAUGAUAAAUAAUCUAAAUCUAAACUCCCUUAAUUGGCAAAAGAUGUGGACACAGAGGGGCUCAUUGAGCUGGCAUUGUUAUAAGGCAAGAGUUUAUUUACGAUAUAAAGAUAUUGAUAUUAUCCAAGAUUUUGAAACAUCGCAAUUAUAUACGCAUUUUUAAACCAAAUAUUUAAUUAUUAUUUAUCCUUAUUCUUUUGUGAUUUACCCAACAAGAGGAACUUGUUUCAGGAAGGAAUUCCUCAAUCAGUCGAAUUGCGUGCGUCAUUUUUGAGCAAUCUGCGGAAUGAGAUUUAUUGUUUAACUGUUUUCGCCAACUAAUUUUUCGGCAAUCGUACUCCAUAAAAGAUGAUUAUGAUUAGGGGAUCUUUUGAUGUGUGCGGUGGACUAAGGGCCCCCGAUCACUUUGAUGGCCAACUAGUAGCCAUCUGGAGCAGGACACACGCACGAUGAAAGAAGCAAUUUGCCCAAAAACAGUACGUACAAGGAGUAUGGGUAUGGGUAUGGGUAUAGGUAUGGGUAUGGGUAUAGGUGUGGGUAUAGGUGUGGGUAUGGGUAUGACCAUCAUAAUUUCGGUGCACGAAACGAUCCGACAUCCAAUAAACGUCAAUCGGGUUCGGUUCCAUGAUUAGCGGGUCUGGAAAGGAUGUCUGGACUCUCUGGUCGCUUUCGGGGGACCCCUGAAAACCCAAACUCGUUUCCAUCUGCGGGCGACAGCUGUUGUUGUCGUCGUCACUCGGUACGGUAAUUGCCAAGUGCCAGGGCCUACUGUACUUGUGCCAAAAUUAACAGGGGCGGUUGCCAUUUUGCAGAUCACAGUUGGCAGUUGGUAUAUACUUUAAGAUUUAGCAUUAAAUUAUGUCUGAAACUAUUGAAAACACAAAACACAGUUGGGCUCUCACAAAAUUACUAAACUCAAUUGUUGCAUCAGAGUUUAGCCAACGCAGGGAAACAAGAUGGAUAUGAAUAGUAUUUAAGGAUUUUCACAUAUUAUUAGGUCACUUGUUUUGGGCGCACAUUGGGUGAACAAACUGUAGCACUGUGCUCCGUACUUGGCAUCCUGGACAACAAGGCAACAAGGCAACAAUAGGAACUGGUAUCCUUACAGAUGGUUAUUAACCCAGACGGCUCGUCUGUGUGAUGUUGUUCCUCAUUUCAUUUGUUGUUUGUCUAAAACAGGAUCGUCGACUCAAAGGCCUCCUCUUGUUACCAGUUUCCAAGAUCUUGUAUAUUUUUGUGCUUUUGUUUUGAUUCUCGUUUCUAUACGUCGGCCACGCCUCCUGAAGCUCAAAGUUCCCCUUCUUCCAGGCUCUGCUGUACUGACUCAUCGGCGCAGACAGACGGGUUCAACUGUACUUGCCGCUGACGCUAUAAAUUAAAAUUAUGUUGUAAGCACACAGCCACGCAAGCGCACACGCACUCGCAAAAAAAGCAGAAGAAAAAAAAUAAUAAAGCAGACAACAGAGUCCGGUUCCAUGGCAAAAAAAAAAAAUGAAAAGAAAAGAAAAGAAUAUUACGAAACUAAAGAAAAGAAAUGCAAACACAACUGAAAGCUUAACCAAAGCAAGCUGCGAAAUCUUGAGUCCCAUUUCCAAAUACCCUAUGAAAACAAAAUAAUUACUUUGAGUUCUUUAAGAUAUUGAAAAUCGUCUGAAAAAGUACCUUUAAAAAUUGUAAAAUAACUCUUUCGACCACAUUUAAUUGUUGUUUAUUGUUUAAAUUGAUACUUAGGGUAAUGCUCAAUCCCCAAGUUUGAAAACAGCAAAGAAAGCUGAAGCAGAUCAAAAGGAAGAAGACGAUGACUGCAUCGCCGCUGAAAAUUGCAGCUUGCAAUAUUAACAUGUUUUAUGUGCCACAGAUCCGAUCCGAUAUCAUCCAAACCGAUCGAAGCUUAAGUCGCGAACUAAGUUACACAGAAACAACAUAAGUUCAGAAGUUCGAUCGGAUGUGAAAAAAUCAUCUUUAUAAAAUAAAUGUUGCCGCCAUAAAGUGUUUCUUGAACACAUCAAAAAUUCCGAAACAUGUUCAAAACGAAAUUGUCAUAAGAUGUCUGUCUAAUAUUUUUCUCUGUGUUGCCGAGCUUUAGACUUCAUUUAAAUCAAGGCAGAUCGUUCGUGUUCCCUUUUGAUCUGGGCGGCCAGGGGGUUAAGGGAGUGCCCCGCGUUUUCCCUUUUUAUUAAGGAAGUCGUCUGGUCUCCUGCGGAAGGAAGUCGCGCCUGUUCCGCAAUUUACUUCGGAUAAAAAGUUUCACAUUAAAAAAGAUUCGCAUGGCAUGAAUGCAAAUUAUCGCAGAAAUGUUAUUGAACUUUUCCAAAUGAAAAAAAAAUGAGCUUCGAAAGGAGCUACACACAUACAUACCUACAUACAUGUAUUGAGAGAGGAUCAGAAGGAGUCUGUUGAAGCCAUAUAUCUAUUGGUAUCUGUUCCAUGUGUCGGCAAUAACACUGUUUUCUCGUCGUUUUCGUUUUUAAUGGUUUUGAUGCUCCUGAAACGCCUACAAGUGUGUAGGGGUACUGACAGAAACGCGUUUAAUUGCUUUAUUCUUCUGACCAGACCAAACCAGGCAUAUGGAAAUGGAGAUGGAGAUCAGUACUCCAUUUCCGUAAUUUAUUGCAAACAAAUGAGAAGUAUCCACUUACAGGGCAUCCAAUUGCUGUUUCGAUUGCCCAUGCCCCAUGCCCUUGAAAAUAUUGCGAGAGACCCAUUGGGAAGUCACAGAUGAUUUGAUCUUUCCGUUGGUGUUGUAUGUGCGGGUCGAAUUCUCUGAGGCGACGCUGCAGCCAUUCCCAAUGACUUAAGGACGAAAACGAUGUGUGUACUUUGUGGAACAGCCAUUACACAUGUAAAUCGGGAA